GCCUUGGUAGUUCAAUGGUUAAACAUUUGGCUGCUAACCAAAAGGUUAGGGGUUUGAACUCUUUCAGUGGCU
rnacentral:tRNA from 1 species